GGACGGCGCCGGAGGGCCGGGAUCGGCGGCAGCGGGAUGGCACCGAGUCCUCUGAGAUGCGCUACGGAAAUGAUGAGAACGACUUCUGAGGCUGUGAGCGGUGGCUGAUGAGAGAAGCUAAAGAGAGGAACCUCAAAAUUGAACAGAUUGAUAUGGAAUGAAGGGGCAUUUCAUAGCAAAUGGAUGAAGUGUCUGGGUUCUCAGUUCCCAUGUGGCUGCGAUGGCAGUGCAGUGUUUGGGAAGCGUGCAGCCAGCUGACUUGUUCUUCUCGUGCUGGGUUCUGUCGCACGGCGGUCGUGUUUUGCAGAGGCCUCUCUAUCCUGGGACAAAGCCAGUGCCAACCGCCUGACCAACUCAGCAGGAGCCGCGGGCUGUGGGAGAUUGCAGCGCCUUCAGCGAUGGAGCAGCGCAGGAUGUUGGGCUCGGAUCCCAAAGCAAACCUGCGUGAAUGGAACGUGAGCUCCUCAGUGCUGUGCACUGCUGAUAGCUUUUACAGCUGUGUGCGUAAGGACUGCCUAAGGACUGCACAGCACAUCCAUCUGCUGCGUCAGGGCAGGAGAGAACCUGCAGCUGUCUGCUCUGUCAGUCUGAACUCCGGAAUGCUGAGGUGUGAGGACAGCUGUCCUUCACCGCUUUGAGAAAAAUGCUGUGCGAGUUGGAGGGCGUUUUUAGUGAUGUUUUCACCUUGGCCUAAGCAGCUGAGUUCAGCCAGCAAGCUGUUUGUUUCUCUGCGGUGUGGUGGAGAAGAAGAGGUGUAGAUCGCUGUACAACUUCUGUAGUGCUGUGCAUGUGAACAACAAACGCAACCAACCGGUUUUCCCAGAAUGACUGUGUGAAACUCAGCAGUGAUUGCUAUGAAGGAUUCCCCUUUGGUCAGUGUGUGCCAGUGACAGCACAAGAGCCUCAGGGUGGGCGCUGCCCUGUUUGGGUGACAGCUCAGCGUAGUUUACUCAGCCAGGCUGGUUGUACGUGUGAGCGGACGGACGCUUCGAAG